rnacentral:tRNA from 1 species
AAGGUCUUAGCUUAAUGAAAGCUCUUGAGUUGCAUUCAGGGGAUGUUGGAUAUGGUCCUGCAGAUCUUA